rnacentral:ncRNA from 3 species
UAAUUGAAGAGUUUGAUCAUGGCUCAGAUUGAACGCUGGCGGCAGGCCUAACACAUGCAAGUCGAGCGGU